rfam:Pediculus humanus corporis strain TSDA 1103172094918, whole genome shotgun sequence.
CAAUCGGCCCUUUUCAGGGCCAACAAUUUGUCAACACGUUCAUAU